rnacentral:rRNA from 1 species
UACGUAGGGUGCAGGCGUUAAUCGGAAUUACUGGGCGUAAAGCGUGCGCAGGCGGUCUUUUAAGUCAGAUGUGAAAUCCCCGGGCUUAACCUGGGAACUGCGUUUGAAACUGGAAGGCUAGAGUGUGGCAGAGGGGGGUGGAAUUCCACGUGUAGCAGUGAAAUGCGUAGAUAUGUGGAGGAACACCGGUGGCGAAGGCGGCGACCUGGUCCUUGACUGACGCUGAGGCGCGAAAGCGUGGGGAGCAAACAGG